ACGAACGCUGGCGGCGUGCUUAACACAUGCAAGUCGAACGGAAGGGCCCUGCUUUUGUGGGGUGCUCGAGUGGCGAACGGGUGAGUAACACGUGAGUAACCUGCCCUUGACUUUGGGAUAACUUCAGGAAACUGGGGCUAAUACCGGAUAGGAGCUCCUGCUGCAUGGUGGGGGUUGGAAAGUUUCGGCGGUUGGGGAUGGACUCGCGGCUUAUCAGCUUGUUGGUGGGGUAGUGGCUUACCAAGGCUUUGACGGGUAGCCGGCCUGAGAGGGUGACCGGCCACAUUGGGACUGAGAUACGGCCCAGACUCCUACGGGAGGCAGCAGUGGGGAAUAUUGCACAAUGGGCGGAAGCCUGAUGCAGCAACGCCGCGUGCGGGAUGACGGCCUUCGGGUUGUAAACCGCUUUCGACUGUGACGAAGCGUGAGUGACGGUAAUGGGUAAAGAAGCACCGGCUAACUACGUG
rnacentral:rRNA from 1 species